UUGUCCUCGGAUCAGGUAG
rnacentral:rRNA from 1 species